CAUUGCUUUUGCAUUGUGUACAUGCACAGACGUGGAACCAUACAUAUGUAUGUUCCAUAUCACACACACAUACACAGCCUGCAACACACAC
rnacentral:miRNA from 12 species